UAUACUUUGAAUGCCAUGACUGUACCUUCAUACUGACUGAGAACCUUACUUGUUUUCCCAGCUGCUGCACUGUUUGGGAACACCACUGAGGAAAACAGCUGGGACUCCCCUGGAAGAAACCUAUAUACACCCAGUCUUAGCCACUUGAAGAGAAGAUGAACUCUAGACCAUUAGCAUCUUAACUGAGGGUGAUGGGUGUGUGUUGCAGAUAAAUAUGAACACCAUGAAAACAGAGGAAGAUGUGAGAUUAGUGAAGGUCUGAGGCAGAGUAAAGAUUUCAAAUUUGAAAUAAAGUCCUCUGCUACCAUUAGAAAUAGUGAUGCCAAAGGACAUCUUUCUCCCUUGUCAUGCCAACAGUGAAAACAUAUCUGUAGCCCCAAAGCCCAGCUCUUCUGGGACAUGAAGAAGGGGUAAAAACAAACAUUUCUAUGCCCAAAACAUGCUGGCAGACUGCUGGCAAGGAAUGCCACCUUGGUCUUCCUGCUGACUGUCCUCCUAUUGAGCACAUGAGUGCAGAACUGAGGGCACAGUGAAGCUCAAUCUGACUGGAGAUCAAGAAAAUCUAACUUUAUCUUGAUUCCACAUUACUCUCUGGAAUUUGGCUCAUCUGAAUGUACCCAUACAAUCCUGGGGCUGAUUUAAAAUUUGUGGCUGUUUUAUAAACUGAUUUUGCUUUCCCUCAUAAAAGCUAUCCAUGCCUUAGUUGCUAAUGCUCUUGCUUGGUGACAACAUAGCCACAAGGGAAGGCUACCUGGUUUGCUAUCAAAAUGUAACAUAAAAACUGUUACCUUCAUUAUACGUGUUAUAUAAUGGGGUAGAGGUUUCAUCUGGGUAGGGUUCAGUUUAAAUAUACUUUAAAGUGGUCUUUAAAAGGAACGAACUCCACUGUGAAACACUAUUAUAACACCAGGGAGCCCUCAUUUUGUGACCACUCUGCUCGAUGGAUGAGAAUGUUCAGAUGGAAGGAUGCCCCAGAGAUGCUUUUUUAAAGAUGUAUUCUUGUCCUGGCUUUCACUGUAUGGGAUUUGUGGCUGCUAUGAGAUCAGCUGGCAUGUCACUGCAUGAGGAACCUCUGAGAAGGCGAAGGUGCCCAGGGAUCCUGACUUCCUUUUCAUGAGAGACAAAUCCAGGAAGAUCUCCAGCUUUCUUCUUUCCUGGAUGUUUCCUUCAGUGCUAAUCCAAAAAACUGUGAUGAAAGAAGAGUGACCUGGAGAAAGGACAGGUACUCAAGGGAUCCCCUGCUCUUCUACUACUGAGAAUGAAGAAUGUGCACUGUGAGCACUUAAGUGUUCUGGUCAGCUACAUCAGCUCUUGCAGCAGCUGUGAAAAUCUAGCAAAGUUUCUAUACUUUCCUUACAAGGUGAAAUCAUAAAAGUUCCAGGAAAAGAACAGAGCUGACCCAUAGAAAGGACUUAUCAGAGACCUUUUCACUUUCCAUACCAUUUUCCUAACACUGAAAUUCACAUAUUUUGAAAAACCAUUAUAUUGCUUUAUCCACAGGAAAAAAAAAUAUAAUGUAGAUUAAUAUGAUGUGUAAAGCAUGUAUAGCUGAGAAUAACAGUUGGCCUGCAAUUAAAUUAUGACAUAUGAAUAGUCACUUCAGAGAAUACUGUGGGAUAAAUGGCAGAGGAUGUCCAAGGACUAAUCUCAUCUUCCUCUAAAGGUGUGACCUCCCACAUUAAAGAGUCUUUAACACCAUGCUAUGAUAUUAUUAACUCAGGUGAGUGUCAGUGAAUAACAGCAGUCUAGAGGGCUUUUCUUUGCCUUUCUCUAAUAAAACAGCUGACCAGACUUAUUCAAUUAAGGAAUCUCUGGCAAGAGAUGAGCCUUGGUUAGAUGAACCCUGGAGGAAAGUAUGUCACAGAAAAGAAUAUGAAAUACCUUAUGUAGACCAUUGUUAGAAACUCUAUUCCAUUUUUAUUUUGCAUUUUGUCUUAUGUUUAGUUACCUACAUGCUGAUGUGUCCAACACACAAGGAUCAUUUCAAAUUGUCUUUUUCCUGUUAUCAUCAAAACAAUGCAAAAAAUAUAACAAAUCCAGAAAGCCACAGACUACCACCAUCAAAAAACAAAACCCUGGUUUUGUUGAGCCUCUAUUUUACCUCAGUUACAGAAAUGAAGGUGCUAGACCCAUAGAAAAAAAUCCUCCUCCCACUGCAGAUUCAAAUUUGAACAAAUAUGACGAGUCUUCCCUAUUUCUGAGUCAUUGUCAAAUGAGACCUACAGAAUGAAAGUACAGGAAUGAACUGUAUGAGGUCUAGACUGCUUUCAAUAUCUAUGAAGUUUUCAAGUCCACAGCUUUCAAUUAUCUUUUCUAUCUGCAAUCCACAUCAGGUUUUAGCAGCCUUCCUGGAGGAGGCAGAAAAGGAAAAAAAGAAGGAGGCAGUUUUCUGUAUGAGUGGUUUCUGUUAACACCUGUUUGCAUUGCUAUUCACUGGAAAUGGUGGAGGGCAAAUGUGAAUUGAAGCCUCGUCUAGAUUUUUGCAGAAGAACUGGAGGAAAAGUCUAUGAAGAAGUUGCAGUAGUUGCAGUGUCUGACAUGUAGAACACCAGAAAAGAAAAUGAAAAAUAUUUGCUCUGUAGUAUGAAAUCAAGCUGCUGUGUGCUACAGUGCAUAAUACAACUGUGCAAAUCUUAUUAGAAACAAAUGAAGUCUAAAAUAAAUGUGGGAAUUAAAUAUAAAAUAUAUAUGUCUGAAGAAUUUUGGGCAGUUGGAGAAGCAAAGACUACUCUAGUUUUGAUUUAGGUUGUAUUCAGAUUUGUCUGCCUAUUAUGUGCAGAUUUUUCUUACUAUUUUCCCCCCAAAUUUUCUUCCAGGGCCUUUUCUUUGUUUGUUAAAGCUUAGUGAAUAUGGAAAGUUUGUUCUUUUUCCCGUGUACUUACAGAAUGGAGGAACUGCCCCAGCAAAAAUCUUUUCUCUUUCAUGGUCUUAAAUUACUGAGCAAAUCAUUCUCCCCCAACAGAGAAAUUUCUACUCCACCUUUCAGUUUCAAGAUAUCUGGAAAUCCUGCCCUGCUGGCAAGUUAGGAAGGACAAGCAGAGAUGACAUAAAAGUUUCCAGUAGGAAGGUUUAUUAAAAUCAUGUUUAACUCCUUGCCUCAUGUCUGACACCAAUCUCAGAUUCUUGAAAAAGGACUUAGCAAGGGACAAAAAAAUAUAACCAAAGUGAUUCUGUUUGAAUGAUUUUUAGGUGCCAAAGCUUUUUCUCCCAUCCCAAGAUCCUGAUCAGUCCAAGUACUUGUCUACAUUGAAAGUACACAAGUGCAUUCACACACUUACACAUAUCAAAUGUGUUACUGGAUAAAAUUACCAGCCAACAGAGACCAGAGCUAUAAAGAAGAUCAGGGCUGAGAAGCAACCUGGGAAUUCAUGGACCUUCCCUCUACAGACUGAGCAGGGAACCAGAUGUUUUCAGCCUCAGUGGCCCACCCCCUUCAGCAAGGGUGAGGUUGCAAUAGAGCAGUGAGAGUGAGAAGGAAGAAAAUGGAAUAGUUAACUAUGGGAGAAUGGGCAGAAGAAGCUGCUUAAUGCAGGGACCAGCAGGCCAAUGUUUUUGGAAGUCUUUCGGUGUGAGCCACUUCUCUAUGCCUGUCAAUGAAUAAAUAAACUGCAACUUUUUAAAGGAUGAAUAACCUAGACUGAAUAUCUAAAAGCUACUUAAAAUUUUAACUUUAAUGAGUACUUUAAAAAUGUAUCUUUAUGAUACUAAAACUAAUAUACAUGUUUUUUAAGGGGAAAAAAAUUAUAAGAUGAUGUUCUUUAUAUUUAUGCUGUCACUCAUGCUUUGACUCUGAUCACUUAUCUGGAUAAUUAAGCAGUAUCACUGAGGAACCAGAUACCAGAAAUCUGAUAUUAAUCCAUCCCUCCUAAUAGUAACGCAAAGCCACUGGGGUGGAAAGCAGCCUAGUCUUCCUAAUCCCCUUUUACCAACAUUUCAGCAUCAGCAUAUCUCAUUUAUUUUCAAAAGUGGUUCAAGACACACUAUCGCUGGCUUAAGUCUAAUUUAGGCUUUAAAUCAAAAUAUAUUAGGAAAUGCAAAAAUAGUCAAGAUUACCAAGAUUUCUUGAGGGAAUGAUUCACAACCAGCUCAUGUCCCUCUGACAGGAACUGGGGACAGCUAAAUGAUUGUUGCAUGUCUGCAUUGCUUUAAGGUACAUCACUUUCCUUUGAAUUAAAAGAAGGCAGGAUUACGGUGGAGACCUUGAGAUCCCACUGCCAUACUUAUCAGGUAUAUGUUAAUGAUAGUCUGAGCAACUUCUACAGACAUAAUUCACCUGCCAUACUGAGGAGUCCAAGGCUAUUCUGUUCUCUCCCUUGUGUGCAUGUGUGAGCGUUUAUGUGAGCCUUGUUGCUGCCUUCAGAGUAUUCUUGGCUCCUCAGGGUAUUUUUGGGUUCAGUGUCAAGACUGUCCUAAAGCCCUCCUUAGUCACUGUUACUCCCAUUAUCCCCUUGUGCAUUUUGGGAUGGUUUGACUUGAACCCAGCAUGAGUACACUUUGACAUGUACCACAGCAGUAAAGGUGGUGGGUAAUUGUCGGAAUAGGAAAGCUGCACACCUCUCCCUUCCCUGCCUCCUCCAUGCAAACCAAAUAGAUGAACAACACAUACCCAGACUGAACAUCAUCCUCAGGCUGUGCCCAUGGUGCAAAAGCACAACCCCAGCUCGAUGACAUGAGCUUGGCCUCUGCUCCUGGCUUGUGGUGGGAGGCAGGUCCAGCUGUCUCACUUUCUAUGGCAACCUCCUCCAUUGGCCCUAGUCUCAAAUGGCUGGGCAUGUGCUUCUAAAGCUACCGAUAUUGGUGUGUUUGAGUUAUGAAGGGCAACUUUGAUUUUGAUAGUUAUCUGAUACAGGUUGUGAACUGUUUACUGUCAUAUCAUUUUAUUAGCUACUGCUGACAUCCCCCUGUGCAUAUUGAAGCUGUAACACUUCAAACUCACAGAAGAAAAACUAAAUAUAUUAUGACAAAAACAAUAGAAACCAAGCUUAGCCCUCUACUGUAGCCCCAGUGUGAUACCUUCCAGUUCCUGAGGGUCUUAAGGAGGAACUGAGAAGACAUACGAGUCCAUUAACCUUGCCUACUAACAAAGUUUUCAAAGACAGUAAUGGGGUCAGAGUCCAUGUGUCGUCAUAGUGAAAGUAUGUGGCACUUUUACCUUGUUUGUGUGGCUCUACCAUCAGAGACAGACACAUUUCAGUGUAGGAGACUUCAGGAAACUGCUGGUUUCCCAUGUAUAUUUUAUUAAGUGUUAGUGCCACCAAACACUGUACAGAUGGGGGAAUCUAUCACUUUAUAAAAUAAUUAGUCUGCUAUUUCCAUGACAAGAAGAAACAGCAGUAUGUAGGCAGCAAACUGUGGUGCUGCUUUUACCUUCCUCAUCGUUUUUGUAUUUUUACCAAAACAGGAAAAUAUUUUUACAGGGUAGGCCAAUAGUGCCACUGGAAUUGAAUUAGAGCAUCCUUAAUUAAUAUGUCAGAAUACGAGAAAUGAUGAAAAUGUGUAUAAUUAAAUUCUUGCACUAAAAACAGAAUUAAAAUAUGUGACUAAAAUAGAUCAGGGCAUUUUUGUGUGUGUGUGCUUUUUAUUUUUUUCCCUUAUAUUUUUUUUUUAAUUUAAAAAAAAUGAGUUCUGCUAUCUUUGCACUGUGUCUUGAUUAGCUAUUACGUGCCUGGCUAAGAGAUGGGUCACCCCAAAAAUUACACACUAUCUGUGAAAAUGAAAAGAAUUUUCCCACUUCUGUGAGUAUAGCGUUAUUUGCAGGCUAAUAUGCAGUAGUAAUAGCUUGGCACUGUGGCAACCUACAUUGUCGAUAAUAAGAAGCUGUUUGAGACAGGUGCUUGAAAGAGCAAACUUCUUACAUAAAUUAAAUACCUAUUUUCAACUACAUGGCUCCAAUUUUCAAAGGCGGUGAGUGAUUCUGGGUAUUCUAGUUUUCCAGGGCUCAAAAUCAGACAUAUGCAGAAGGUCUGAUUUUCUAAUUUUCAGUGUUUAUGGAAGAUCCAACUUCAUUAAAAUGUCUGAGUGCCUCUUUUCUUCCCCUGUCCCUCAGGAGUUCAAUCAAAUAGGUCAGUUUCGAUGCUAGGUCACACCUAUGCAGUGAGUAACUUCACAGACUAUUUUACAUCAGACAUUUUUACUCUGUUAAUCUCUUCUUGCUGUGCAUGUGUUGUACUUUUUUAGUUUAAGGGAAAUAUUUUAAACUGAAAAUCUCUUUUUGUUUCUACUUUAUGGGAGAUUUACAAACAUGUAUGUGAAAAUUAAUUGUAGACUAAAACUGAUGGAAAAAUAUGUGGAUGAGCAACUGAUCUGUAUGAAACAAACAAGAGACCUUCCUUUAAAAAUCCCAUCCCACUGGUUUCCCAUACUGAAACCAAUAAAGCAUUCUUUAUUCAAUUAUUUAAUAUAUCAGUAAUAUAAAUCUCACACUUCUUUAGCAAUUUGUCUUAGCAAAAGUUUCCAUUCUACAUCCCACUCAGAUCCUCAAAAGAUUUCAAAAUCCUAAACCCAGCCUGGAUACCAGCAUUAUAAAGGGAAAUGUCCAGAUUAAUCUGGCAGCA